CCUACGGGUGGCAGCAGUGAGGAAUAUUGGUCAAUGGGCGAGAGCCUGAACCAGCCAAGUUGCGUGAGGGAGUACUGCCCUAUGGGUUGUAAACCUCUUUUGUCGGGGAGCAAAAGCCGGACGUGUCCGGCUGUGAGAGUACCCGAAGAAAAAGCAUCGGCUAACUCCGUGCCAGCAGCCGCGGUAAUACGGAGGAUGCGAGCGUUAUCCGGAUUUAUUGGGUUUAAAGGGUGCGCAGGCGGAUUUUUAAGUCAGCGGUAAAAUCGUGGGGCUCAACCCCAUCCAGCCGUUGAAACUGGGGAUCUAGAGUGUGCGAGAGGUAUGCGGAAUGCGUGGUGUAGCGGUGAAAUGCAUAGAUAUCACGCAGAACCCCGAUUGCGAAGGCAGCAUACCGGUGCACAACUGACGCUCAGGCACGAAAGCGUGGGUAUCGAACAGGAUUAGAUACCCCAGUAGUC
rnacentral:rRNA from 1 species